rnacentral:rRNA from 1 species
UACGGAGGGGGCUAGCGUUGUUCGGAAUUACUGGGCGUAAAGCGCGCGUAGGCGGACCUGCAAGUCGGGGGUGAAAGCCCGAGGCUCAACCUCGGAACUGCCUUCGAUACUGGCGAUCUUGAGUCCGGAAGAGGUGAGUGGAACUCCUAGUGUAGAGGUGGAAUUCGUAGAUAUUAGGAAGAACACCGGUGGCGAAGGCGGGUCUCUGGGCAAUUCCUGACGCUGAGGCGCGAAAGCGUGGGGAGCAAACGGG